GAUGAACGCUAGCGGCAGGCCUAACACAUGCAAGUCGAGGGGCAGCGGGAAAAAGCUUGCUUUUUUGCCGGCGACCGGCGCACGGGUGCGUAACGCGUAUACAAUUUGCCUUAUACAGGGAGAUAGCCCGGAGAAAUUCGGAUUAAUAUCCCAUAAUAUUGUGUAAUCGCCUGAUUAUAUAAUUAAAGCUACGGCGGUAUAAGAUGAGUAUGCGUCUGAUUAGCUAGUUGGUAGGGUAAUGGCCUACCAAGGCAACGAUCAGUAGCUGGUCUGAGAGGAUGAUCAGCCACACUGGAACUGAGACACGGUCCAGACUCCUACGGGAGGCAGCAGUGAGGAAUAUUGGGCAAUGCCCGCAAGGGUGACCCAGCAACGCCGCGUGGAGGAUGAAGGCCGUAAGGUUGUAAACUCCUGUUAGAGGAGAAGAACAGUACCGAUUGGAUCGGUAUUUGACUGUACCCUCAGAGAAAGCCCCGGCUAACUACGUGCCAG
rnacentral:rRNA from 1 species